CACUCUUGAUUGACAACGAUACUUAAACUCACCUGUAAUUACGUUCUUUGUUGAUUUCCUUCCAUCCCGUCCUCUGUGGGUUGUUGAUGCGAAGAGCUGAAACGACAAAGAAACAACAUUAAGACUCCUGGCUAUAGUAGUGCAUACAUUUUUCGGAUGUGUUGCAGAACGUAGCAAAACAAAAAACCACCAAACAACUGAGCCUUACCUGAAGAUUUUUGAAGUUUUCCAUCAUUUCCAGAUAUUUUUCCACCGCAGUUUUAGCAGGAACUGAAAAGAGAUAGAAAAACGCAAUUAAUCAACUAAAAUCUGCAUUCAUAGCGCUUAAUGGGAACUUAUUUUGUGAAAAUUAGGACUUACCUUAAGGAUCAACAGCCACCACCAGUUUGUUUACAUCGAAAACAUUCAAUAUUAAAAUUUUUCCUUCAUUUCAACAUUUCCACCUACUUGUUGUUUUGAUUAUAGAUUCUUCUUGUAUUCUUCUUCGGAAAUACAUUCGAUUUUGCAAGUGACGUUUCCCGUGAGUGACCGUCAAAAAUAUACACUGAGCUAAAAAUCCCAGCUGUUUCUGUCACACGCUGACUUGAAAACACGCGAAGUGUGAUUUAAAAAGAAAAAGUUCAAAGAUUUAAUCUUUAUUUGGUUCAAUCAAAUUAAAAGAUAGGUACAACGACGCAUUCAUCUCUCUCGAAACAAAAUGAAUGUAUACACAUUCAUUUUGAAAAGGGACGAUGGGGUAAUGUAACCGUUUGUUACUGCUUUUUAUGUGACUCCGCCACAAAAUCCUACCACUCCUGUACUCCGUUGAGAGUAAUACCACAGUAGAUCCAAUUCCUCUUUCCUAAACGCCUAAAUGCAGGCACUUUUCUCUGAGGGAUAUCCAUGGGCGUCGGGUUUAGGCAGGGUACAUGCCGGGGAAGUGUGAUCACCCGGAGAGCGAACACACCCGCGUAAAAAUUACAUUCUCCUUCGUAUGUGUGUCGGUCAAAUGUAACGUAGAUUUGUGCACAUGCGGGGCUAGUUCUUUCUGCCUGUGACCGUUUCAGAGAACGGAAGUGCGCGUUAUUAAAAGUUCGUAAAAUUUGUGAAAUUGUGGUGUAAAUGUUUAAAAAGUUUUUUCCUAUAAUUACAGAAAAAAGUAUAGCCAAGUAAAACCGCAGCAAGGCUUACAGUGGCAUACAUUAGUUAAAAACCUAGUUAAAAUCUUAUAAGCUAAAAGUUAAAAAAAAUAGUACGAUAAAAAGUGGUUGACAAUACAAAAACCACAUGCAGUGUAAAACCGCAUUCGACGAAACACAACAUUAAAAAGGUCCAAGAGGGCCUUUUUUGUAUUUCUAUCCAAUUGCUUAGCAGCACGGCGCAGCAGAAAAUCUAAACGGGCAGAAAGGAGCGGUCGGAACGCCAAAAUCCGACUGGUAAACCGAUCAGCACGUCCCCUCGUGGUGAAGAACCAAACCACGGUGGUGACAUCCUGCAGAGGAUCGUGGGCUCUUCCGGGACGCCGGUAAAGAGCCUGUGAUACCCUGGGCGGUGCUGAAACAACCAGCCGUCCAGCCCUGCUCCAUAAAAAUUCGACCAACAUCAACCGUACGCUAAAGAGUUCAACGGAAGAAGAAACUUCAAUCGGCCGGCCAAAAUGUGCCUAAAGAACCGCAAGUAUACCGUGUGACGUUAUUGUGAAGAAACACAGUUAGGGAAACCAAGUUUAUAAAUAAACCCCCACAAAUUAUGUAAAACCCAACGUAUGAGGAUUUCUGUAUUAUGGGAUAAUUUUUGAUUCCUUUACACCUUUUGCUCAGUAACGUUAUUGGCUGAAAGCCCCCCAAAACUUCACUCUUGAUCGGCCAGGUUGGGAAUUGCUAGCUCCGCUUUAUAUUGAUUUCAUUAAAGAUUUUGACCCGGUUGAUAGCAUGCGAAGUACCACCCGGUACGUCCCUGUCUAGCUUGGUUCCUUCUGGAUAUCCCUUCUGUGAGUUCCCCGGAGGAAAGUGUCUUGGGUUGAAAAGCAUACGAUCCUGAGUUCCAUCAUAAUUUCUUUUCCCAUGUUCCCCACCCACUGAG